AGCGAACGCUGGCGGCAGGCCUAACACGUGCAAGGCGAACGGAGCCUUCGGGAUGAGGGGCGGACGGGUGUGUAACACGGGGGAACGUGCUCUUGGGCUCGGAACAACUCAGGGAAAUGUGAGCUAAUACCGGAUGUGCCCUGCGGGGUAAAGAUUUAUCGCCAUUGGAGCGGCCCGCGUCUGAUUAGCUAGUUGGUGAGGUAAAGGCUCACCAAGGCGACGAUCAGUAGCUGGUCUGAGAGGAUGAUCAGCCACAUUGGGACUGAGACACGGCCCAAACUCCUACGGGAGGCAGCAGUGGGGAAUCUUGCGCAAUGGGCGAAAGCCUGACGCAGCCAUGCCGCGUGAAUGAUGAAGGUCUUAGGAUUGUAAAAUUCUUUCACCGGGGACGAUAAUGACGGUACCCGGAGAAGAAGCCCCGGCUAACUUCGUGCCAGCAGCCGCCGUAAGAC
rnacentral:rRNA from 1 species